AAAGGACUGGGGCAUUAAAAGGUGGUAGAUGAAGGCCAGCGGGGGACGCCGAAGCGUAUGUUGGUGAGAGGCUGGUAGAUGUAGGCCAGCUGCUGGUGACUGGGGCAUUAAAAGGUGAAGUGGUGGUAGAUGAAGGCCAGCGGGGACGCCAAAGCGUAUGAUGGCGAGAGGCUGGUAGAUGCAGGCCAGCUGCUGGUGACUGGGGCAUUAAAAGGUGAGGUGCUGGUAGAUGAAGGCCAGCAGGGGCACGAGGGUCAUUUACGGGGAGGGAUGCUGGUAGAUCAAGGCCAGCUGGGGUGGUGCUAUGAAACCAUAUUGAGCAGGUGGAAAGGGACAGUUGUGCAUUACUAGUAUGAUGAGGAAAUUAAAAGAAAAGAGAGAAUGGGUUAGAAAGGAAGGAAACGACUUCUUGCUACUGGAGACGAGAUGCUAGACUUAUGUUAGCCUCACAGGGAGACAGAGGAUGUGGGUGAGGAGGUCAAUCUGGAUGAAACCUGAAAUAGCAAGUAAAAGUUUAUUUAUAAAGCGCUUUUCCUAGACAUAAUCACAGCGCUGUACAAUGGAAAUACAUAAAAAUGCACGAAACCAACAGAACAAAAUGGAGAGAUAAAAGCCUGGGAAAAUAAAA